GAUUAAGUUAUUAAGGGCGCACGGUGGAUGCCUUGGCACUAGAAGCCGAUGAAGGACGUUACUAACGACGAUAUGCUUUGGGGAGCUGUAAGUAAGCUUUGAUCCAGAGAUUUCCGAAUGGGGAAACCCAGCAUGAGUUAUGUCAUGUUAUCGAUAUGUGAAUACAUAGCAUAUCAGAAGGCACACC
rnacentral:rRNA from 1 species